rnacentral:rRNA from 1 species
GACGAACGCUGGCGGCGUGCUUAACACAUGCAAGUCGAACGAAGAGCGAUGGAAGCUUUCUUCUAUCAAUCUUAGUGGCGAACGGGUGAGUAACGCGUAAUCAACCUGCCCUUCAGAGGGGGACAACAGUUGGAAACGACUGCUAAUACCGCAUACGAUCUAAUCUCUGCAUCGAGGAUAGAUGAAAGGUGGCCUCUACAUGUAAGCUAUCACUGAAGGAGGGGAUUGCGUCUGAUUAGCUAGUUGGAGGGGUAACGGCCCACCAAGGCGAUGAUCAGUAGCGGGUCUGAGAGGAUGAACGGCCACAUUGGGACUGAGACACGGCCCAGACUCCUACGGGAGGCAGCAGUGGGGAAUCUUCCGCAAUGGAAGAAAGUCUGACGGAGCAACGCCGAGUGAGCGAUGACGGCCUUCGGGUUGUAAAGCUCUGUUAAUCGGGACGAAAGGCCUUCUUGCGAAUAGUGAGAAGGAUUGACGGUACCGGAAUAGAAAGCAACGGCUAACUACGUG